UACGAAUAGGAAUUUAUUAGAAAGUAUAGGUUAAUAUAAAACACUCAAACAACUAUUAUAUAGUAUACUGUAUAAAUUAUGUUGCAUGUAAAUGAAUCCGAAAAGUACUGACUACACAAGGCCUCAAUUUCGUUCUUCCAGUAUAUACGUCUGUAAUAUUUUCCCAAAACAAGAGUAAAUUUCUUUAUAAUCGAUAAGUGAGGACAUUUCGGUUUAUUUUAAUAACUUCGUACUCACAGUUUUACGAAAAAUAAAUCAAAUUUCUGAUAUUUUAAGCUACUUGUAAGCAAUUCUCAAUUGAAGAAAAGUAUGGUAUAUUAAAUCUUUAUGUAAACACACACAUUUAGAAUGAUAUAAUUGCAAUGUCCAUGAUUGUGAGAUAAAGAAUACUAUCUUUUUGUCAUGUGUUGGUUAAGAUAUAUACAUAAAACGCACGUAUUUGUAAAAAAUGGAAAUCAACACGUUUAAUAAUUUCAUGCGUCCGAAGCGCUUUUCUGGCUUUACCUUCAGCAGGAACGCCCGAAGCCAAACAUUUGAAAUUUGAAGAUGUAUAAGUACCAAACCCGUUGAAAAGCUUUAUGACAUAAAUACAUAAAAUAAAUAGACAAAUUCAGCUAAAGUUAACUUUGCCCGAGGGAGUUGAAACCUUAGUUUUUAUAUAAUUUCAAAAUUUAUAAACGGAUAAGGAUAAUUUUAGAAAAAAAUUGUUGAAUCAUGUCAGUACCGAAGUACUGACUACUGAGCUGUAGGCUAUAAUCAAUAACAAAAAUAUGUAUACACUAAUCGUCUGUUGAUCUAUAAUACUCAUUUAUGUAUAAAACAAUUUAAAUAAAUUUAUUACAAAUAAUUACGAAAAAAUAAACAUCAGGCUAUACAUUAUUGGUCAGUCUUGAGUCAAUGUGCAUAUUUAUAUAUUUGGAAUUGUACAAUUUAUUAUUUAAAUCAUGUUACAAGAAAAUCAUAAUGACAAUCAGAGUAUAUUUUAAAUUUUAAUACAUAAAGAUUGUAUUCUGUUAAACUCAAAUUUAUUUCAUCCUCUACAUACUUUGUUACUCUUUUUCGAUAGAAGAUGGGUUUUUUUUUUGCAUUAAAAAGUCAUGUAACUUUUACAGUCAAAAAUACUUAAUGAACCUUUUCUUCAGUCAUAGUGACACAUUACGCAUGCUCUUUAUCUUGAAAGAUCAUAUUACUUAUAGUCACUUAUAAAUGAACUCAGAUGCUAAAAUUGAAAACAUAAAUUCAAACUAUGUAUGUUCAUGUAUAAAGAUGUAUCUAAUCAAAAUUCAAAACGGAAGUCCCUUCUUUAAUAAUUCUAACCUCCCCAAUUUGUCAUCAAAUCGCAAAUCAAUCCCCCGAUAUACAGAUUAGAUAUUCGGUAUAUGUUACUGAUACGUAGUUGACCCGAAUGAGGAUGAUACCCUUAUCGUGCUUUCUCCACGUUUUUGAGGCGAACUAAAAAUGUUAAAAAAAUCAUAUCAAUUGAUAUAAUUACACAUAUUCCACAACAUUCUUUAUAUAACACAUAUCAAUCAUCCAAUACUAUUUCAAAGUAGAACAAGUUAAAAAGUAAAAUCACAAAAAUACUGAACUCCGAGGAAAAAUUCAAAACCGAAAGUCCGUAAUCAAAUGGCAAAAUCAAAUGAUA
rnacentral:lncRNA from 1 species